rnacentral:rRNA from 1 species
CGACCUCAAAUCAGGUAGGACUACCCGCUGAACUUAAGCAUAUCGGUGAGCGGAAGAAAAGAAACCAACAGGGAUUGCCUUAGUAGCGGCGAGUGAAGCGGCAAAAGCUCAGAUUUGAAAUCUGGCACUUUCAGUGUCCGAGUUGUAAUUUGAAGAAGGUAUCUUUGGGUCUGGCUCUUGUCUAUGUUUCUUGGAACAGAACGUCACAGAGGGUGAGAAUCCCGUGCGAUGAGAUGUCCCAGACCUAUGUAAAGUUCCUUC